AGCUGAAUCUUGUGUCGGAGCAUGAGUUUUUGUGCCGACUUUCCCAGUACAGCCUGGAGGAUGCAGCGGCAGAGUUUCUGGCGCCAGCGUGGUAGGCCAAGGUGGCAGUGGACCGCAGGCACAGGACCAGCCAUACUUGCAGUGCCGCGCUGAUGCCAGGAAAGGACUGCCUCUCCCAGAUCGCCGCAGAUUGCUUUC
rfam:Erinaceus europaeus unplaced genomic scaffold scaffold00288, whole genome shotgun sequence